AACGAACGCUGGCGGCAGGCUUAACACAUGCAAGUCGAGCGCCCCGCAAGGGGAGCGGCAGACGGGUGAGUAACGCGUGGGAAUCUACCCAUCUCUACGGAACAACUCUGGGAAACUGGAGCUAAUACCGUAUACGUCCUUCGGGAGAAAGAUUUAUCGGAGAUGGAUGAGCCCGCGUUGGAUUAGCUAGUUGGUGGGGUAAUGGCCUACCAAGGCGACGAUCCAUAGCUGGUCUGAGAGGAUGAUCAGCCACACUGGGACUGAGACACGGCCCAGACUCCUACGGGAGGCAGCAGUGGGGAAUAUUGGACAAUGGGCGAAAGCCUGAUCCAGCCAUGCCGCGUGGGUGAUGAAGGCCCUAGGGUUGUAAAGCUCUUUCACCGGUGAAGAUAAUGACGGUAACCGGAGAAGAAGCCCCGGCUAACUUCGUGCCAGCCGCCGCGGAAG
rnacentral:rRNA from 1 species